AUGCUUGCUUCGGCAACAUACAUACUAAAAUUGGAACAAUACAGAGGAGAUUAGCACGGCCCCCGGGCAAGGAUGACACGCAAAUUCAUGAAGCAUUCCAUAUUUUU
ensembl:snRNA U6 U6 spliceosomal RNA